GGAGAAACAGAUUUUUUCAUAAAGAAUUUAAAGAUUUUUAUUUUUGAAACUCUUUGUACUGUUGUUAGAGGGAUAUGCAUGUUUUAGUUUUUUUGUUUUUGCUAACACUGGAAUCUAUAUGUUGAGGGAUAGUUAUAGCUGCAGGUCUGUAGGUCCUAGUCUGGCUCUGCGGAAAUUCGGAUGGACGACCUGGGAGCUACAGUGCCACCCAUCCAAGGACAUCCAUACAAUUUUUUCAGACUCAGGAAGCUACAGACCUGCAGCUUGGGUAGUUUGAGAUUUUUCUUCAUUUAUAAGAUAAUGAGAUUUUAUUUGGAGGAAAGAGGGAUGUGCCAUAAUCAAUGUUUUUUUACUUCAUGUCUAUGAUGUCUUUCUUUACAAUGAGUGUAAAGCAGUUAAUUGAAAAUGGAAGUAAAUACACCAUAGUCAUCAAGCGCAAUAAAGAAUAUCUAAAAUAUUUGUAUUUCAGCUGAUUAUGAUUUUAAAAAACUAUUUUUCAUUUAAUAAAAUUAACUCAG
rnacentral:misc_RNA from 1 species